rnacentral:misc_RNA from 1 species
AAUAAAUUAAGUAACAUCACAAGUAUACAUAUUAUUGUAAUUUAAUUUCUCCAAAUCAAUUUGAGAACUAAUUCUUGGUGAACGCGCUUUUAUAUUAAAGCAUAUUAAUGUGUAGGACUUUUCUGUCAAUACUGUUAUCAUAUUUUCUGUCGAUACAUUAUUAAAAAUUAAACAAUAAAUAAAGCUACAAAUCUAAGGCAG